rnacentral:rRNA from 2 species
UUUGAGAGUUUGAUCCUGGCUCAGGAUGAACGCUGGCGACGUGGAAAAGGCAUGCAAGUCGAAUGUCCCGCAUUUUUGCGGGACAUGGCGAACGGGUUAGUAACACGUAGAUACGUGCCCCAAAGUCUCGCAUAACCCCGUGAAAGCGGGGACAAUUCGAGAUGGUUUCCGCUUUUUGCGGAAUAAAGAUUUAUCGCUUUGGGAGCGGUCUGCGUCCUAUCAGCUAGUUGGUGAGGUAAUGGCUCACCAAGGCUACGACGGGUAGGGGAUGUGAGAGCAUAUUCCCCAACAAAGGCACUGAGAUACGGGCCUUACUCCUACGGGAGGCAGCAGUCGAUAAUCUUCCACAAUGGGCGAAAGCCUGAUGGAGCAACGUCGCGUGCUCGAUGAAGCCCUUCGGGGUGUAAAGAGCUUUUCUCUGUGAACAAUUUUGUAGCAAUGCGGAAUGAGUGUAAUAGAGGAAUAAGGGGGGGCUAACUCUGUGCCAGAAGCCUCGGUAAGACAGAGCCCCCAAGCGUUAUCCGGAUUUAUUGGGCGUAAAGGGUCCGUAGGCGGUUUAGUAAGUUUGAUGUCAAAUAUCCCAGGCUUAACCCGGGAAACAUAUCAAAUACUGCUGAACUAGAGGGCGCUAGAGGUUGAUAGAACGAUCGGUGUAGGGGUGAAAUCCGUUGAUAUCGAUCGGAAUACCAAAUGCGAAGGCAUUCAACUGGGGCGACCCUGACGCUGAGGGACGAAAGCGUGGGGAUCAAAAAGGAUUAGAUACCCUUGUAGUCCACGCUGUAAAUUAUGGAUACUAGCUAUCUGAAGUGUCGACCCUUUAGGUGGCGAAGCUAACGCGUUAAGUAUCCCGCCUGGGGAGUACGGCCGCAAGGCUAAAACUCAAAGGAAUAGACGGGGAUUCACACAAGCGGUGGAUCAUGUGGCUUAAUUCGACGGUAAACGAGGAACCUUACCAGGACUUGAAAUGCUAAUGACGUUCUGCAGAAAUGCGAACUUCCCACAAGGACAUUAGCACAGGUGCUGCAUGGUUGUCGUCAGUUCGUGUCUUGAGACGUACGCUUAAGUGCGGUAACGAACGCAACCCUUGCCCUAUGUUUUAAAUGUCAUAGGGGACUGCCCGGGACAACCGGGAGGAAGGCGAGGAUGACGCCAAAUCAGCAUGGCCCUUUGACGUCCUGGGCUGCACACGUGAUACAAUGGGACAGACAAUGGGUAACCAAAGCGCAAGCUGGAGUUAAUCUUAUCAAACUGUCCCCCAAUUCGGAUUGAGGUCUGCAACUCGACCUCAUGAAGCCGGAAUCGCUAGUAAUCGCCAAUCAGCUAUGUGGCGAUGAAUACGUCCCUGAAUCUUGUACUCACCGCCCGUCACAUUAGGGAAGUCGAUAAUAGCCGAAAUCCCCGUUCGCGGGGCAUAAGCUAAGAUCGGUAACAAGAAUGAAGUCGUAACAAGGCAUGCGUAGGGGAACCUGCGCAUAGAUCA